rnacentral:rRNA from 1 species
UACGUAGGGGGCAAGCGUUGUCCGGAAUCAUUGGGCGUAAAGCGCGUGUAGGCGGUUCGGUAAGUCUGCUGUGAAAGGCCAGGGCUCAACCCUGGGAUGCCGGUGGAUACUGUCGGACUAGAGUACGGAAGAGGCGAGUGGAAUUCCCGGUGUAGCGGUGAAAUGCGCAGAUAUCAGGAGGAACACCAAUUGCGAAGGCAGCUCGCUGGGACGUGACUGACGCUGAGACGCGAAAGCGUGGGGAGCAAACAGG